AAUUUUCCCAGAGGCGGGGGAUAGCUCGGCGAAAGCCGGAUUAAUACCGCAUGAUGUCGAAAGACCAAAGCAGGGGACCGUAAGGCCUUGCACCUUUGGAUGAGCCUAUGUCGGAUUAGCUAGUUGGCGGGGUAACGGCCCACCAAGGCAACGAUCCGUAGCUGGUCUGAGAGGACGAUCAGCCACACCGGAACUGAGACACGGUCCGGACUCCUACGGGAGGCAGCAGUGGGGAAUAUUGGACAAUGGGCGAAAGCCUGAUCCAGCGACGCCGCGUGGGU
rnacentral:rRNA from 1 species